GAUGAACGCUGGCGGCGUGCUUAACACAUGCAAGUCGAACGGAAAGGCCCAAGCUUGCUCGGGUACUCGAGUGGCGAACGGGUGAGUAACACGUGGGUGAUCUGCCCUGCACUUCGGGAUAAGCCUGGGAAACUGGGUCUAAUACCGGAUAGGACCACAUUUUGGAUGGUGUGGUGGAAAGUUUUUCGGUGUGGGAUGAGCUCGCGGCCUAUCAGCUUGUUGGUGGGGUAAUGGCCUACCAAGGCGUCGACGGGUAGCCGGCCUGAGAGGGUGUACGGCCACAUUGGGACUGAGAUACGGCCCAGACUCCUACGGGAGGCAGCAGUGGGGAAUAUUGCACAAUGGGCGCAAGCCUGAUGCAGCGACGCCGCGUGGGGGAUGACGGCCUUCGGGUUGUAAACUCCUUUCGCUAGGGACGAAGCGCAAGUGACGGUACCUGGAGAAGAAGCACCGGCUAACUACGU
rnacentral:rRNA from 1 species